rnacentral:rRNA from 1 species
UACGUAGGGGGCUAGCGUUGUCCGGAAUCAUUGGGCGUAAAGAGCGUGUAGGCGGCCCGGUAAGUCCGCUGUGAAAGUCGGGGGCUCAACCCUCGGAUGCCGGUGGAUACUGUCGGGCUUGAGUACGGAAGAGGCGAGUGGAAUUCCUGGUGUAGCAGUGAAAUGCGCAGAUAUCAGGAGGAACACCAAUUGCGAAGGCAGCUCGCUGGGACGUUACUGACGCUGAGACGCGAAAGCGUGGGGAGCAAACAGG